rnacentral:rRNA from 1 species
AUUGAACGCUGGCGGCAGGCUUAACACAUGCAAGUCGAGCGGGGGAAGGUAGCUUGCUACCGGACCUAGCGGCGGACGGGUGAGUAAUGCUUAGGAAUCUGCCUAUUAGUGGGGGACAACAUCUCGAAAGGGAUGCUAAUACCGCAUACGUCCUACGGGAGAAAGCAGGGGAUCUUCGGACCUUGCGCUAAUAGAUGAGCCUAAGUCGGAUUAGCUAGUUGGUGGGGUAAAGGCCUACCAAGGCGACGAUCUGUAGCGGGUCUGAGAGGAUGAUCCGCCACACUGGGACUGGGACGGGGCCCAGACUCCUACGGGAGGCAGCAGUGGGGAAUAUUGGACAAUGGGGGGAACCCUGAUCCAGCCAUGCCGCGUGUGUGAAGAAGGCCUUAUGGUUGUAAAGCACUUUAAGCGAGGAGGAGGCUACUCUAGUUAAUACCUAGGGAUAGUGGACGUUACUCGCAGAAUAAGCACCGGCUAACUCUGUGCCAGCCGCCGCCGUAA